rnacentral:rRNA from 1 species
UGGCGGACGGGUGAGUAACGCGUGGGUAACCUGCCCUGUACAGGGGGAUAACAGUCAGAAAUGACUGCUAAUACCGCAUAAGACCACAGCACCACAUGGUGCAGGGGUAAAAACUCCGGUGGUACAGGAUGGACCCGCGUCUGAUUAGCUGGUUGGUGAGGUAACGGCUCACCAAGGCGACGAUCAGUAGCCGGCUUGAGAGAGUGAACGGCCACAUUGGGACUGAGACACGGCCCAAACUCCUACGGGAGGCAGCAUG